GGCAUGGUGGUUUAGUGCUUAGCAUGUAUGCCUCGCAAGUCCAGGGCUUGUGGUUUGAAUACCACCUCUGCCA